AACGCUAGCUACAGGCUUAACACAUGCAAGUCGAGGGGAAACGAUAUUGGAAGCUUGCUUCCGAUAGGCGUCGACCGGCGCACGGGUGAGUAACGCGUAUCCAACCUGCCCAUCACUUGGGGAUAACCUUGCGAAAGUAAGACUAAUACCCAAUGACGUCUCUAGAAGACAUCUGAAAGGGAUUAAAGAUUUAUCGGUGAUGGAUGGGGAUGCGUCUGAUUAGCUUGUUGGCGGGGUAACGGCCCACCAAGGCGACGAUCAGUAGGGGUUCUGAGAGGAAGGUCCCCCACAUUGGAACUGAGACACGGUCCAAACUCCUACGGGAGGCAGCAGUGAGGAAUAUUGGUCAAUGGACGAGAGUCUGAACCAGCCAAGUAGCGUGCAGGAAGACGGCCCUAUGGGUCGUAAACUGCUUUUAUAAGGGAAUAAAGUGAGUCUCGUGAGACUUUUUGCAUGUACCUUAUGAAUAAGGACCGGCUAAUUCCGUGCCAGCAGCCGCGGUAAUACGGAAGGUCCAGGCGUUAUCCGGAUUUAUUGGGUUUAAAGGGAGCGUAGGCCGGAGAUUAAGCGUGUUGUGAAAUGUAGAUGCUCAACAUCUGAACUGCAGCGCGAACUGGUUUCCUUGAGUACGCACAAAGUGGGCGGAAUUCGUGGUGUAGCGGUGAAAUGCUUAGAUAUCACGAAGAACUCCGAUUG
rnacentral:rRNA from 1 species